AUGGCGGAAGCGGAGGGGCCCUUUCAUGUGCUCCGGACCGGGACAGGCCGGUUCCUCUGCUACUGCGGACCCGACGGCGCCGUCUAUGUGACCGACGCGAUGGAGGUCUGGGCCGGGGAGCUCGGUGACUGCCCGGCGCUCGGCUUUCGGUGCCCGCCGGAGGAGCACGGCGCGAUGCUCAGGGCCGCCCUGGAUCACGGAGCCGCCGCGCUGAGCCUGGGCCCGGGUUCGGCCACGCUGCGGCUGCCGGAGGAGCCGCAGUGCCCGGCCCUGGCCCUCGCCCAGCUGCCCGCCGCCGAGGCGCGCAGCCAGCUGCAGGCGCUGGUCUUCGGCAUGGCCGGCUGCAUCGAGAGCCUGGAGAGGCGCCUGGAAGCAGUGGAGACGUUAGCAUCUUCCUGCAGCCCUGAGAAGAACGCUGCCCGGAGCCAGCAGCUCUUCCUGCCAGGUAGGCACUGCCAGGGGCACCUGCCCUGCUCCUGCAGUCUUUUGUCUUCUCCUUCCUGGAGGCUGCUGCUCCUGUAUCCAUGUGCUCUCCAGGACACUCUUGAGUGCCCUCAGCUCUGGCUGCUGGCAGUCACCUGUUGUCCUGGUGCUCUUCCAGGCAGAGCAGGGGCAGGGUUUAGUGUGGUGGCUCUCAGGGUGUCUGGAAUGCUCAGGUCAAAGGCUGGGCAUUGCCAGCCUCAGAAGGAGGGCAGGCUUUCCUGUGCUUCCAGACUGGAGGCUGUGUGGAUCCAUGCCUCCUUGUGGGAGAGAAGGCCAAGCCUGGCCCUUGCCCUCUGUGGCUGCUGGUCCUGCCAGGGUGGGCUCCUGGAGGCUCCCCCUAGCCGUGGAGGGACUGGCAGGGCAGCCAGAGCUCCUGGGUAACCUGUAAUCUGUGUCCUGCCUGUUCCUGACCGAGGCAGACCCCAGCCCCAGGAAGAGUAAGGCUUCUGGCUCAGCUUUGCCAGGCAAAAGGAAGGUUCCGGGGGAGUCUCUCAUUAACCCUGGUUUCAAAAGCAAGAAGGUG